GAUGAACGCUGGCGGCGUGCCUAAUACAUGCAAGUCGAGCGAACGGACGAGAAGCUUGCUUCUCUGAUGUUAGCGGCGGACGGGUGAGUAACACGUGGAUAACCUACCUAUAAGACUGGGAUAACUUCGGGAAACCGGAGCUAAUACCGGAUAAUAUUUUGAACCGCAUGGUUCAAAAGUGAAAGACGGUCUUGCUGUCACUUAUAGAUGGAUCCGCGCUGCAUUAGCUAGUUGGUAAGGUAACGGCUUACCAAGGCAACGAUGCAUAGCCGACCUGAGAGGGUGAUCGGCCACACUGGAACUGAGACACGGUCCAGACUCCUACGGGAGGCAGCAGUAGGGAAUCUUCCGCAAUGGGCGAAAGCCUGACGGAGCAACGCCGCGUGAGUGAUGAAGGUCUUCGGAUCGUAAAACUCUGUUAUUAGGGAAGAACAUAUGUGUAAGUAACUGUGCACAUCUUGACGGUACCUAAUCAGAAAGCCACGGCUAACUACGUGCCAGCAGCCGCGGUAAUACGUAGGUGGCAAGCGUUAUCCGGGAAUUAUUGGCCGUAAAGCGCGCGUAGCGGUUUUUUAGUCUGAUGUGAAAGCCCACGGCUCAACCGUGGAGGGUCAUUGGAAACUGGAAAACUUGAGUGCAGAAGAGGAAAGUGGAAUUCCAUGUGUAGCGGUGAAAUGCGCAGAGAUAUGGAGGAACACCAGUGGCGAAGGCGACUUUCUGGUCUGUAACUGACGCUGAUGUGCGAAAGCGUGGGGAUCAAACAGGAUUAGAUACCCUGGUAGUCCACGCCGUAAACGAUGAGUGCUAAGUGUUAGGGGGUUUCCGCCCCUUAGUGCUGCAGCUAACGCAUUAAGCACUCCGCCUGGGGAGUACGACCGCAAGGUUGAAACUCAAAGGAAUUGACGGGGACCCGCACAAGCGGUGGAGCAUGUGGUUUAAUUCGAAGCAACGCGAAGAACCUUACCAAAUCUUGACAUCCUUUGACAACUCUAGAGAUAGAGCCUUCCCCUUCGGGGGACAAAGUGACAGGUGGUGCAUGGUUGUCGUCAGCUCGUGUCGUGAGAUGUUGGGUUAAGUCCCGCAACGAGCGCAACCCUUAAGCUUAGUUGCCAUCAUUAAGUUGGGCACUCUAAGUUGACUGCCGGUGACAAACCGGAGGAAGGUGGGGAUGACGUCAAAUCAUCAUGCCCCUUAUGAUUUGGGCUACACACGUGCUACAAUGGACAAUACAAAGGGCAGCGAAACCGCGAGGUCAAGCAAAUCCCAUAAAGUUGUUCUCAGUUCGGAUUGUAGUCUGCAACUCGACUACAUGAAGCUGGAAUCGCUAGUAAUCGUAGAUCAGCAUGCUACGGUGAAUACGUUCCCGGGUCU
rnacentral:rRNA from 1 species